CAACUUUUGACAAUGGAUCUCUUGGUUCUCGCAACGAUGAAGAACGCAGCAAAAUGCGAUAGGUAGUGUGAAUUGCAGAAUACGUGAAUCAUCGAAUCUUCGAACGCAUAUUG
rnacentral:rRNA from 1 species